rnacentral:rRNA from 1 species
GACGAACGCUGGCGGCGUGCUUAACACAUGCAAGUCGAACGGAAAGGCACUGCUUUUGUGGGGUGCUCGAGUGGCGAACGGGUGAGUAACACGUGAGUAACCUGCCCUUGACUUUGGGAUAACUUAAGGAAACUGGGGCUAAUACCGGAUAGGAGCUCAUGCUGCAUGGUGGGGGUUGGAAAGUUUCGGCGGUUGGGGAUGGACGAGCGGCUUAUCAGCUUGUUGGUGGGGUAGUGGCUUACCAAGGCUUUGACGGGUAGCCGGCCUGAGAGGGUGACCGGCCACAUGGGUACUGAGGGACGGCCCAGUCUCCUACGUGAGGCAGCAGGGGGGAAUAUUGCACAAUGGGCGGAAGCCUGAGGCAGCAGCGCCGCGUGCGGGAUGACGGCCUUCGGGUUAUGAACCGCUUUCGCCUGUGACGAAGCGUGAGUGACGGUAAUGGAUAAAGAAGCACCGGCUAACUACGUG